UUGCUAUUGGCUGUUUUCUGAUUUCUCUCUCUCUCUCUCUCUCUCUCUCUCUCUCUCUCUGUGUGUGUGUGUGUGUGAGAGAGAGAGAGAGAGAGAGAGAGAGAGAUAAAGAGAAAAUUGACUGUAUAU
rnacentral:miRNA from 1 species